GGAAUAUUGGUCAAUGGGCGGAAGCCUGAACCAGCCAUGCCGCGUGAAGGAAUAAGGUCCUAUGGAUCGUAAACUUCUUUUGUGCGGGAGCAAUAAGGGCUACGUGUAGUCCGAUGAGAGUACCGUACGAAUAAGCAUCGGCUAACUCCGUGCCAGCAGCCGCGGUAAUACGGAGGAUGCAAGCGUUAUCCGGAUUUAUUGGGUUUAAAGGGUGCGUAGGCGGUUUGCUAAGCGGGAGGUGAAAUGCCGGCGCUCAACGUCGGAAGUGCCCCCCGAACUGGUGGACUGGAAUGACUCUGCCGUGGGAGGAAUGUGUAGUGUAGCGGUGAAAUGCUUAGAGAUUACACAGAACACCGAUUGCGAAGGCAUCUCACGAAGGGUUGAUUGACGCUGAGGCACGAAAGCGUGGGGAUCAAACA
rnacentral:rRNA from 1 species